rnacentral:rRNA from 1 species
AUGUUUUCUGUCUAGCCUGAUCACCCACCCACCUUCUAUAGACCAACACCUCCUCUAAAACCAAUAAAACAUUCUUAAUAUUAAGUAUAUGCGUUAAAAAAAUACUCAGAGCAAUAGCAAAAGUACCGUAAGGGAAAGAUGAAAUAGAAAUGAAACAGCUUAAAACACUAAAAAACAGAGAUAAAACCUUGUACCUUUUGCAUCAUGGCCUAACAAGUCUAAUCAGGCAAAACGAAUUUUAGUCUGACCUCCCGAAACUAAGUGAGCUACUCCGGGGCUGCUUCAUGUUUAACCCGUCUCUGUAGCAAAAGAGUGGGAAGACCCCCGAGUAGAGGCAAAAAACCUAUCGAACUUAGUAAUAGCUGGUUGCUUAGGAAAAGGAUUUAAGUUCUUUCUUAAAAAUUCUCAAGCAAAGCCAAGCAAACCUAAUUUUUAAGAAUUAUUCAAUAAAGGUACAGCUUUAUUGAAGAAGGAAACAGCCUAAACCUUAGGAUAAUGAAUAUUUUUGAACAGGUAAAAGGCUAAGUUGGCCUAAAAGCAGCCACCUUUAAGAUAGCGUCAAAGCUUCACCUCAUAUUCACCUUAAAUCUCAUUACUUUCUCAUAAUCCGACAAUUCUACUAAGCUAUUCUAUACUUUUAUAGAAAAAUUUAUGUUAGGACUAGUAACACAGAAUUAUUUCUCUUACAUGUAAGUUUAAAUCAACCCGAAUACCUCCUUGAUAAUUAUUCAAAUUUGAACCUUAAGUAGUACCUCUACCCCCUUACAAAAACCCUACUUAACUUAUUGUUAAUCAAACAUAUGGGCAUGAAAGAAAGAUUAAAAAAUUAAGAAGGAACUCGGCAAACACAAGUCCCGCCUGUUUACCAAAAACAUCGCCUUUUGAAUAAUAUAAAAGGUAACGCCUGCCCACUGACAAUAUGUUAAAUGGCCGCGGUAUUCUGACCGUGCGAAGGUAGCGUAAUCACUUGUCUUUUAAAUGAAGACUCGUAUGAAAGGCAUCACGAGAACUUAGCUGUCUCCUUAAUCUAAUCAGUGAAACUGAUCCCCCUGUAAAAAAGCAGGAAUGACCACAUAAGACGAGAAGACCCUAUGGAGCUUUAAACAUAAGCUACUUCUAUACUCUACUAAUCUAUAGUACUAUAAUACAAACCUAGCCUAAGUUUUCUGUUGGGGCGGCUGUGGAGAAAAACUUAUCCUCCAUGAAGAAAAAACUUUGAUCUACCGCUCUUAGUAUUAGCAAGCCUAACUUAAAUUGAUCCAAUUUUUGAUCAACGGACCAAGUUACCCUAGGGAUAACAGCGCAAUCCAUUUCAAGAGUCCCUAUCGACAAAUGGGUUUACGACCUCGAUGUUGGAUUAGGACAUCCUAGUGGUGUAGCCGCUACUAAUGGUUCGUUUGUUCAACGAUUAAAGU